CCUACGGGAGGCAGCAGUGAGGAAUAUUGGUCAAUGGGCGCAAGCCUGAACCAGCCAAGUAGCGUGAAGGAUGACUGUUCUAUGGGUCGUAAACCUCUUUUAUAAAGGAAUAAAGUGAGGCACGUGUGCCUUUUUGUAUGUACUUUAUGAAUAAGGAUCGGCUAACUCCGUGCCAGCAGCCGCGGUACUACGGAGGAUCCGAGCGUUAUCCGGAUUUAUUGGGUUUAAAGGGUGCGUAGAUGGGUUGUUAAGUCAGUGGUGAAAGUUUGCGGCUCAACCGUAAAAUUGCAGUUGAAACUGGCAGUCUUGAGUACAGUUGAGGUAGGCGGAAUGCGUGGUGUAGCGGUGAAAUGCUUAGAUAUCACGAAGAACUCCGAUUGCGAAGGCAGCUUACUAAGCUGCCACUGACAUUGAUGCUCGAAAGUGUGGGUAUCAAACAGGAUUAGAUACCCCAGUAGUC
rnacentral:rRNA from 1 species